rnacentral:rRNA from 1 species
AUUGAACGCUGGCGGCAGGCUUAACACAUGCAAGUCGAGCGGAGAUGAGGUGCUUGCACCUUAUCUUAGCGGCGGACGGGUGAGUAAUGCUUAGGAAUCUGCCUAUUAGUGGGGGACAACAUUCCGAAAGGAAUGCUAAUACCGCAUACGCCCUACGGGGGAAAGCAGGGGAUCUUCGGACCUUGCGCUAAUAGAUGAGCCUAAGUCGGAUUAGCUAGUUGGUGGGGUAAAGGCCUACCAAGGCGACGAUCUGUAGCGGGUCUGAGAGGAUGAUCCGCCACACUGGGACUGAGACACGGCCCAGACUCCUACGGGAGGCAGCAGUGGGGAAUAUUGGACAAUGGGCGGAAGCCUGAUCCAGCCAUGCCGCGUGUGUGAAGAAGGCCUUUUGGUUGUAAAGCACUUUAAGCGAGGAGGAGGCUACCUGGAUUAAUACUCUAGGAUAGUGGACGUUACUCGCAGAAUAAGCACCGGCUAACUCUGUGCCAGCCGCCGCCGUAAGAC